rnacentral:rRNA from 1 species
AGUGAACGCUGGCGGUAGGCCUAACACAUGCAAGUCGAACGGCAGCACAGUAAGAGCUUGCUCUUACGGGUGGCGAGUGGCGGACGAGUGAGGAAUACAUCGGAAUCUACUUUUUCGUGGGGGAUAACGUAGGGAAACUUACGCUAAUACCGCAUACGACCUACGGGUGAAAGCAGGGGAUCUUCGGACCUUGCGCGAUUGAAUGAGCCGAUGUCGGAUUAGCUAGUUGGCGGGGUAAAGGCCCACCAAGGCGGCGAUCCGUAGCUGGACGGAGAGGAUGAUCAGCCACACUAGAACUGAAACACGGUCCAGAGUCCUGCGGGAGGCAGCAGUGGGGAAUAUUGGGCAAUGGGCGCAAGCAUGAUCCAGCCAUACCGCGUCGGUGAAGAAGGCCUUCGGGUUGUAAAGCCCUUUUGUUGGGUAAGAAAAGCAGCAGGUUAAUACCCCGCUGUUCUGACGGUACCCAAAGAAUAAGCACCGGCUAACUUCGUG